AUGCGACCCCAGGAUG
rnacentral:rRNA from 1 species